rnacentral:rRNA from 1 species
GAUGAACGCUGACAGAAUGCUUAACACAUGCAAGUCUACUUGAACUUCGGUUUGUGUGUCGGACGGUUGAGUAACGCGUACAGAACUUGCCUCACAGUUACGGACAACAUUUUGAAACGAAUGCUAAUACCUGAUAUUAUGAUUUUAGGUCAUCCUAACAUUAUCAUAGCUAUAUGCGCUGUGAGAGAGCUUUGCGUCCCAUUAGCUAGUUGGAGCGGUUACGGCUAACAAAGGCGAUGAUGGGUAGCCGGCCUGAGAGGGUGAACGGCAACAAGGGGACUGAGAAACGGCCCGUACUCCAACGGAGGGCAGCAGUGGGGAAUAUUGGACAAGGGACGAAAAGUCUGAUACAGAAAUUCUGUGUGCAAGAAGACGUUUUGCGGAAUGUAAAGAGCUUGCAGUUGAGAAGAAAAAAAUGAAGGUACCAACAAAAGAAGUGACGGCUAAAUACGUG